rnacentral:rRNA from 1 species
GAUGAACGCUGGCGGCGUGCCUAAUACAUGCAAGUCGAACGAAACUUCUUUAUCAUCGCGCGCUUGCACUCACCGAUAAAGAGUUGAGUGGCGAACGGGUGAGCAACAUGUGGGCAGCCUGCCCAAAAGAGGGGGAUAACAUAUGGAAACAGGUGCUAAUACCGCACAACCAUAGUUACUGCAUGGUAACUUUGCAAAAGGUGGCUAUACUACCGCUUUUGGAUGGGCUCGCGGCGCAUUAGCUAGUUGGUAGGGUAAAGGCUUACCAAGGCAAUGAUGCGUAGCCGAAUUGAGAGGUUGAUCGGCCACAUUGGAACUGAGACACGGCCCAGACUCCUACGGGAGGCAGCAGUAGGGAAUCUUCCGCAAUGGGCGAAAGCCUGAUGGAGCAACGCCGCGUGAGUGAAGAAGGUCUUCGGAUCGUAAAACCCUGUUGUUAGGGAAGAAAGUGCGUGAAAGUAACUGUUCACGUUUCGACGGUAUCUAACCAGAAAGCCACGGCUAACUACGUG